CACCGCCCUUUCACGGCGGUAACAGGGGUUCGAAUCCCCUAGGGGACGCCA
rnacentral:tRNA from 1 species